rnacentral:rRNA from 1 species
UACAGAGGGUGCAAGCGUUAAUCGGAAUUACUGGGCGUAAAGCGUGCGUAGACGGUUAUGUAAGUCAGGUGUGAAAGCCCCGGGCUCAACCUGGGAAUGGCAUUUGAGACUGCAUAGCUAGGGUGCGGAAGAGGGAAGCGGAAUUUCCGGUGUAGCGGUGAAAUGCGCAGAUAUCAGGAGGAACACCGGUGGCGAAGGCGGGUCUCUGGGCAGUAACUGACGCUGAGGAGCGAAAGCGUGGGGAGCGAACAGG